rnacentral:rRNA from 1 species
GACGAACGCUGGCGGCGUGCUGAACACAUGCAAGUCGAACGAAGUGGCGAACGGGUGAGUAACGCGUAAUCAACCUGCCCUUCAGAGGGGGACAACAGUUGGAAACGACUGCUAAUACCGCAUACUGAAGGUGGGGAUUGCGUCUGCUUAGCUAGUGAAAGGGGUAACGGCCCACCAAGGCGAUGAUCAGUAACCUGUAGUAGAGAAUGGACGGCAACAUAGGGAAGGAGAAAGGGCCCCGACACCUACGGGAGGCAGCAGUAGGGAAUCUUCCGGAAUGGACGAAAGUCUGACGGAACAACGCCGGCUGCGUGAUGACGGCCUUCGGGUUGUAAAGCUAUGUUACUCGGGAAGCGGUACCGGAAUAGAAAGCCACGGCUAACUACGUGCCAGCAGCCGCGGUAAUUC